UGUAAGCGUAUACCAAAGUUGUUGCGGUUAAAACGCUCGUAGUCGGACUUUGGCAGUUCCGGAUGUGUGCACGUCGUGUGCGCACUUCGCGGGGAUUGCUUUUGUGGUCUUGCGUAGGAUGAGGCACUUUUAUUAGUGAACGUCCUCACGCAACCACUUUUUACUGUGAGAAAAUCAGAGUGCUCAAAGCAGGCAUUUGCCGUGAAUGUAUUAGCAUGGAAUAAUAGAAUAGGACUUGGUUCUAUUUUGUUGGUUUGUUGGGACUGAGUAAUGAUUAAGAGGGACAGUUGGGGGCAUUUGUAUUUCGGUGCUAGAGGUGAAAUUCUUAGAUUACCGAAAGACAAACUGCUGCGAAAGCGUCUGCCAAGGAUGUUUUCAUUGA
rnacentral:rRNA from 1 species